UACGGGGGGGGCAAGCGUUAAUCGGAAUUACUGGGCGUAAAGCGUGCGCAGGCGGCUUUGCAAGACAGAUGUGAAAUCCCCGGGCUUAACCUGGGAACUGCAUCUGUGACUGCAAGGCUGGAGUGCGGCAGAGGGGGAUGGAAUUCCGCGUGUAGCAGUGAAAUGCGUAGAUAUGCGGAGGAACACCGAUGGCGAAGGCAAUCCCCUGGGCCUGCACUGACGCUCAUGCACGAAAGCGUGGGGAGCAAACAGG
rnacentral:rRNA from 1 species